UACGGGAGGCAGCAGUGGGGAAUAUUGGACAAUGGGCGCAAGCCUGAUCCAGCCAUGCCGCGUGAGUGAUGAAGGUCUUAGGAUUGUAAAGCUCUUUCACCGGGGACGAUAAUGACGGUACCCGGAGAAGAAGCCCCGGCUAACUUCGUGCCAGCAGCCGCGGUAAU
rnacentral:rRNA from 1 species